rnacentral:pre_miRNA from 1 species
UAGUCAUGUUUAGUAGCCAAGGAUGACUUGCCUGAUCUUUUUCACCUCCAUGAUUCAGUUAUAAGUUCAUGCGUUUUGGAUUAUAUUUUAUGCUUUUUUAAAGUAUAAUAGUUCAAAAUCAUGUUGAAUCUUGCGGGUUAGGUUUCAGGCAGUCUCUUUGGCUAUCUUGACAUUUUU